UGGACAGACCUCUGGUGAUCCGGUUGUUCCGCCAGGAGCAUUGCCGGGUAGCUACGUCUGGAACGGAUAACCGCUGAAAGCAUCUAAGCGGGAAGCCGGCUCCAAGAGUGAUCUCCCGGACCAUUAGGUCCCCAAAGGCCGCAGGAAGAUUACCUGUUUGAUAGGCCGGAAGUGGAAGCAUGGCAACAUGUGAAGCUGACUGGUACUAAUUGGCCGGGCGACCUGACUUAAUACAAGAUCAAA
rnacentral:rRNA from 1 species